rnacentral:rRNA from 1 species
UACAGAGGGUGCGAGCGUUAAUCGGAAUUACUGGGCGUAAAGCGUGCGUAGACGGCUAUCUAAGUCGGGUGUGAAAGCCCCGGGCUCAACCUGGGAAUUGCAUUCGAGACUGAAUAGCUAGGGUGCGGUAGAGGGAAGCGGAAUUUCCGGUGUAGCGGUGAAAUGCGUAGAUAUCGGAAGGAACAUCAGUGGCGAAAGCGGCUUCCUGGACCAGCACCGACGUUCAGGCACGAAAGCGUGGGGAGCAAACGGG